rnacentral:lncRNA from 1 species
UAUAGAUUAGACAUAUCAUACACGAUACGACCUCUUGGGAUAAUUCCUUUUUCUAUAUAUAUGAAUCGGACAAACCCCACGGUGGGAAAGCCAAAUCAUGCACGUUACCGAAGAUAAAACCGUGACAGCCAAACUUGUCAAGAAAGACUACAUGAUUGUCUUUUCAUGCCCCCAAUUCCAAAAGUGUUCACGAGACCCCGAAUGUUCACAUUAAAUAGGUCAUCUUCCUCUCUCUGUGAGCUGCCAUGGCUGUUAAUAACUUGGUUAAGAUCUUGGCACUGACUUUGGUCUUCGCCGGAGCUUUUGAUUUUGGUUUUUCAUAUGACCGACCGCCACGCCGGAAGUCUCUCUCUAAACCACUCUUGAAAGAUCUUGAUGAAUAUGAUCCUGCUUCUCCACAACAGGUAUCAAUAUACACCAUCUUAUUUUCCCCCCUUAAUUUUCUUCGUUUUAUCCCUUUGCUGCUCAUAUUGAAUAGGAUUGGACGUUAUAAUUAUGAAAUUCUGUGCAUACGUAUCAAAGUGCAUCAAAC